GACGAACGCUGGCGGCGUGCCUAAUACAUGCAAGUCGAACGCUUCUUUCCUCCCGAGUGCUUGCACUCAAUUGGAAAGAGGAGUGGCGGACGGGUGAGUAACACGUGGGUAACCUACCCAUCAGAGGGGGAUAACACUUGGAAACAGGUGCUAAUACCGCAUAACAGUUUAUGCCGCAUGGCAUAAGAGUGAAAGGCGCUUUCGGGUGUCGUUGAUGGAUGGACCCGCGGUGCAUUAGCUAGUUGGUGAGGUAACGGCUCAGCAAGGCCACGAUGCAUAGCCGACCUGAGAGGGUGAUCGGCCACACUGGGACUGAGACACGGCCCAGACUCCUACGGGAGGCAGCAGUAGGGAAUCUUCGGCAAUGGACGAAAGUCUGACCGAGCAACGCCGCGUGAGUGAAGAAGGUUUUCGGAUCGUAAAACUCUGUUGUUAGAGAAGAACAAGGACGUUAGUAACUGAACGUCCCCUGACGGUAUCUAACCAGAAAGCCACGGCUAACUACGUG
rnacentral:rRNA from 1 species